GCUAAGAAUAUUCCGCAAUGGACGAAAGUCUGACGGAGCGACGCCGCGUGGAUGACGAAGGCCGAAAGGUUGUAAAAUCCUUUUGUUGGGGAAGAAUAACCGUGGGAGGGAAUGCCCGCGGGAUGACAUGAACCGAUGAAUAAGCCCCGGCUAACUACGUGCCAGCAGCCGCGGUAACACGUAGGGGGCAAGCGUUGUUCGGAAUUACUGGGCGUAAAGGGCAUGUAGGCGGUUUGAUAAGCCUGGCGUGAAAGUCUAUGGCUCAACCAUGGGAUUGCGCUGGGAACUGUCGAACUUGAAUUAUGGAGAGGGAGCUAGAAUUCCAGGUGUAGGGGUGAAAUCUGUAGAGAUCUGGAAGAAUACCGGUGGCGAAGGCGAGCUCCUGGCCAAUAAUUGACGCUGAGGUGCGAAAGUGUGGGGAUCAAACAGGAUUAGAAACCCGGGUAGUCC
rnacentral:rRNA from 1 species